CUAUCCCGUUCAAUACAACACCAAAUCUCAAAGCGCUAAAUAUUUCUUCUUACACAUCACUCUGCUGUUUCGCUAGGGUUUUUGCCAUCUUCGCUAGGGUUUUCAGGUGUGUACAGAAGAUGUCAAGAGUGUAUAUUGGGAAUCUGGACCCUAGGGUCAGUGAAAGAGAGCUUGAAGAUGAAUUCCGUAUCUUUGGAGUUAUAAGAAGUGUUUGGGUUGCAAGACGUCCCCCUGGCUAUGCUUUUAUUGACUUUGAUGACCUACGAGAUGCACAAGAUGCAAUCAGAGAGCUGGAUGGUAAGAAUGGAUGGAGGGUGGAGCUUUCACAUAAUUCUCGAGAAGGUCGUGGGGGCCGUGGAGGCGGUCGUGGUCGCUCUGGAGGCUCUGAUUUGAAGUGCUACGAGUGUGGCGAGCCUGGUCAUUUUGCUCGUGAGUGCAGGUCGCGUGGAGCUCCUGGAAGACGUAGAAGUCGGAGCCCUCCUAGAUAUCGAAGGAGCCCAAGUUAUGGUCGUAGGAGUUAUAGUCCUCGUGGGCAUUCCCCCAGGCGCCGAAGCUUGUCGCCGCGCGGUCGCAGCUAUAGCCGAUCUCCAUAUCGCGGCGGAAAUGAAGUUCCAUAUGCUAAUGGAAAUAGACUCAGAGAGCGUCGCAGAAGCCGAAGCUGAAGGAAAAGAUGAUUGCCUGACUUGUCCAGGGGUUUUCGAUUAGUCUGUUACUGUCCUUGACUUAAUCACAGCUGUGUAAGUGGGGCCACGCCCUCUGCUUUAACUGGUGGUUUUGGUUAAAAUUCAGUACUUGCUAUUGGCAUGAUAAGUGUUGGUUUUUGUUUUUUCUAAUGUUUCCCUUUUUAUGAACCUAUAUCAUGGGGGCUUAUAUUAUGGAUUUUAUGGUAGCUGUUAUUUUUGUGAAGAAAAUAUCACAAAGAACGUUGCUAAAGACUUAUGUUUUUGUUUUCUUGUGCCAAGGUGUCUUCCUGGUACUGCUUCAUUGGUUUUCUGCUUCUACACUCUGGUUGCUUCAUGGUUUUCUGCUUCUACACACUGGUUGCUUCAUUGGUUUUCUGCUUCUACACUCUGGUUUCGUUCUCCAGUGCCCUGCUGUGGGAUCUUCAAUUUCGAAGAUUGUGGAUCCCAGCGGGCUACACUGCUAGAUGCUUCUGUUUGUUGACUCUCUGCGGAUAUGAUGCACCUCACCUCAAAUUAUAGUGGUAUUUCUUUAAGUUCAUAUUAAGGAUGAGGAAUGGCAUGACACACAUUGGCAAGUACCUACUCUGUUCCAGGGAAAUUGGGAUUUGAUGUUCUCCUUAAACCAACUGUGGAUGGUACUCCAUUUGGGUUCGUAGGGCAGUGUCCGAGUCUAUAUAGUGAUGAGUAUUUUGGUUCCCUUUUACUUUUAUUUUCUGGCUGCUUCUUUUUUCUUCCCUUCUUUUCACACACUUUUAUUAUCAUCUGUCAAAAUAACCUUUAUCAAAAAAAUAUUAUUUGUCAAAAUAACAGUCUUUUUAGGGGAAAAUUCUCCAUACUUUCUUUCUGUCUUUGGAGAAAGAGCUGGUUACAAUUUUAUUAGAAUGUUCCCUGUAGAGUGACUGAGAUUUUGAAGUUUCUUUUCUACUUCUCCAGACAAAGCUAGUGAAAAACCUGCACGGUGAUUUCUGUUAACUUCAUCGUGUUCAUCCUUUUUUUUUUUGUCUCAAGUGAAUUUUGCAUUUACUCAUAUACAAAUUAUGGGGUGGCCAGUAGUAGUGCAUUCGACAAAGUUCUAGAAUGAUAUGCGUGAAUGUAGAGGACCACUCUUCUUUCAGUUGAAGAGCUUGCUUUGACUGCCUCCAUCCAAGAUGUUCAGCUGAGUUCUUGUCUGAGUUAUGGCCCACUGCUCCUGGCGUCUCUUCUUACACCAGCUUCAGUCAAGUAUUCUACUGUAUCUGCACAAAUUUGAUCACUCCAGUCCUCUUUCUGUCCCUCAUUUUAGCUGCCAUUGCCAGCUUGUUACGCGGCGAGUUGAGUGCAGAUCAUCAUCUGUGUUGUAUACGGAAAUGAUUUGAGCGGCCAGAACCUAUGUUGUGCCGACUAUCCAAAAAUGUUGCUGCACCAGUGUCGGAUCCUCCAAAAAUACUCUAUUUUUGGAGGAUUCUACAUGCACCUGUGCCAUUUUUGCAGAGUCUGAGAAACAUAGGCCAGAACCCUUUUAGAAUGCAUCUAUUGGUGAAGGGUUAUUGAAUGUGUCCAUAGUUUCACGAGCAUUUUGUGACGUGCUCGUCAGUCACACUGACUGCAGAUAAUAAUACCAUUUUAAAUGGGAGGAGAUCGUGAUGUUUAAGAAUCACAGAUAUGAAAUUUUGCUCGAAAGCGAUAUGCACCGAAGUCUGGAUAUUUUUUUAAUUGCUUUGUGUUUCCUUUUUUCCUGAUCUCCAUUUUGUGAGAAAUAAAUGGUGAAAACUAGAUCCUGGUUGAUGGAAAGCAGCAGACUGGGAGUGAGUAUACUUUCCUGCUUGGCUGCGCAAAGAGUCCUCGGGUUGUAGCAAUCGAAAAUUCCAAUUGUACCUACUUAUGUAAUGGCUAGAAACAUACCUACAAUGACGUUUAGAAGUUGACAAUUUGACUUAGGGUAGCAGUUCGGCGUGGAAUUUAUGUAUGAGCUAAAACGAUGAAUGGAAAAUUAAAUCACGCAAAUUUUAUAUUCUUGUU